rnacentral:tRNA from 1 species
UAAAUUUUAAGUUAUACAAACUAUAGACCUUCCAAGUCAAAAAAAACCUAGGUUAAAUUUAA